rnacentral:lncRNA from 1 species
CAAAGGUUAGGUACUAAAGCCUCAAAUUAAUGCUCUCUGUAGAAACCUGCUCCUCGUGGGACCCAGGAGCACCCAGUCCUGGGAGAGCCACGGCGCCACGUCCUACUGCCCACGGCACAGCCAGGCACAGCAGCAUGGCACGCGUGAUGGGCGCUGUCCCCAAGGACAGCAGGAUGGGCACUGUCCCCAAGGACACCACCAUGGGCUCUGUCACCUAUGGCACCACCAUGGGCACAGUCCCCAAGGACACCAAGAUGGGCACUGUCCCCAAGGACACCACAACAGGCACUGUCCCCAAGGGCACCAGCUCCCUGCUGCUCACUGCCACCCCUGGCACCUCUGCAGCCUCCCCAAGUGACACCUUUCAGGAGAGCUCCUCAGGUGAACCACAGCUGCUCCCAAUUGUGUUACCAGCUCUGCUUUUGCUGAUUUGCAUCACCAUCACCAUCCUCACCCUGGCCAAAAUCAAGCUUCAAAAGCAGACAGGAGGAGAAAGAAGCACCACAGGGAGCCUGGAGCCAGCUUUGGUCCGUGCUGGGCUGAGCCCUGAAAAGGAGGAAAGAAUGGAGGAGAACCCAAGCCCAGGAGAGGAGCAGGAAUUCAGGAUGGGCUCUGGCAAAUGACAAUCUCUGCUAUCCUUGGAAAUAUCAGGAUGACCAGCUUCUAUUUACCCUAUGGGGAAAAAUUACUUUUCAAGGUGCCUGAUGCAGACUUGAGCCAGAACCUUCUCUGAAAGCCUCUGGGUACCUGAGCUGGGAAUUUUCUGUGUGGAAAGCCAAGCCCCCAACACCUCCCACUGCAUUCCACAGACCCCAAAUCCCCUUUACUGAGAGCUGAACCCCCACACUGCCCAAAUUGCUCUGUGUCUUGCAGAAGAGAGAAUAAAAUAACACCCCUGAAC